rnacentral:rRNA from 1 species
AUUGAACGCUGGCGGCAUGCUUUACACAUGCAAGUCGAACGGCAGCGCGGGCUUCGGCCUGGCGGCGAGUGGCGAACGGGUGAGUAAUGCAUCGGAACGUGCCCAGUAGUGGGGGAUAGCCCGGCGAAAGCCGGAUUAAUACCGCAUACGACCUGAGGGUGAAAGCGGGGGACCGAAAGGCCUCGCGCUAUUGCAGCGGCCGAUGUCGGAUUAGCUAGUUGGUGGGGUAAAGGCUUACCAAGGCGACGAUCCGUAGCUGGUCUGAGAGGACGACCAGCCACACUGGGACUGAGACACGGCCCAGACUCCUACGGGAGGCAGCAGUGGGGAAUUUUGGACAAUGGGGGCAAGCCUGAUCCAGCCAUGCCGCGUGCGGGAAGAAGGCCUUCGGGUUGUAAACCGCUUUUGUUCGGGAAGAAAACCUCUGGGCUAAUACCCCGGGGGGAUGACGGUACCGGAAGAAUAAGCACCGGCUAACUACGUG